GAACGAGUUCUGAUUAUUGAAAGGUGCUUGCAUCUUGAUUUAAUUUUGAACGAGUGGCGGACGGGUGAGUAACACGUGGGUAACCUGCCCUUAAGUGGGGGAUAACAUUUGGAAACAGAUGCUAAUACCGCAUAAAUCCAAGAACCGCAUGGUUCUUGGCUGAAAGAUGGCGUAAGCUAUCGCUUUUGGAUGGACCCGCGGCGUAUUAGCUAGUUGGUGAGGUAACGGCUCACCAAGGCAAUGAUACGUAGCCGAACUGAGAGGUUGAUCGGCCACAUUGGGACUGAGACACGGCCCAAACUCCUACGGGAGGCAGCAGUAGGGAAUCUUCCACAAUGGACGCAAGUCUGAUGGAGCAACGCCGCGUGAGUGAAGAAGGCUUUCGGGUCGUAAAACUCUGUUGUUGGAGAAGAAUGGUCGGCAGAGUAACUGUUGUCGGCGUGACGGUAUCCAACCAGAAAGCCACGGCUAACUACGUGCCAGCAGCCGCGGUAAUACGUAGGUGGCAAGCGUUAUCCGGAUUUAUUGGGCGUAAAGCGAGCGCAGGCGGUUUUUUAAGUCUGAUGUGAAAGCCCUCGGCUUAACCGAGGAAGUGCAUCGGAAACUGGGAAACUUGAGUGCAGAAGAGGACAGUGGAACUCCAUGUGUAGCGGUGAAAUGCGUAGAUAUAUGGAAGAACACCAGUGGCGAAGGCGGCUGUCUGGUCUGUAACUGACGCUGAGGCUCGAAAGCAUGGGUAGCGAACAGGAUUAGAUACCCUGGUAGUCCAUGCCGUAAACGAUGAAUGCUAGGUG
rnacentral:rRNA from 1 species